CAGAAAGAUGGACCUCAACACAGCUUUGUUUAAGCCAGACUCCAACAUUUAUAUUCUCCAGUAUUUUUGCCCUGAUUGAAUCUAGUCAGUGAGCAAGCCACAGGUGACUCAGAGGAUGACUGUAUGGAAAUGGAUGCUGUUGCUGAGAGGAAGUUUUUCUGAAGCAGGGGAAUGGGAGCCUCAGGUAUCUCAGACCAGAACAUGAGCCUACAAGAUCCUGUCAGUCAUAGAUGCUGCAAUAUAACUGCCAUAAACACGUGGAAGGGG